GUUGAGUCACGGGUCGAAUUUAUUACGACUUAUGAGUGAUGAUAUACUCGAUGUCGAAGGCAUUGUAACCCAACAAGUGGGGAGUUUGAUUUGGUUGGUACAAAUUGAACGAUCUGCGGUAGCAGCGAUAAAUGACGUGGUGUGGUUGGAAGUUUAGCCAUGCCCGGAUGUUGUUGUUACUUUGCGAUGUCAAGUUGUUUGUGGAUCUGAGUUUUUUGCUUAACAUGUAUCUUCAUUAGGACUGCACUAUCAUUCCGAUUGUAUGGCAUGUUCUUGUUUGAUUGUUGCCUUACGAUUGGAUUGUUGGUGUAUCCGAUGAUGUGAUUUGGCUUGUUAAGCUAAAAACUGUGGAUGACAAAUUGACAUUGUUUUUUGAGUUGUUGAAUGUGUUGUUGGUGAUGACAUUUGUCUUGAGGUGKUGCGGUGUCACGUUGCCUGUGUAUCCUGGCUUCGAGCUAUUNAAGCUUGAAACUUGUGGAUUAUCGGUUGGUGACAUGGCAUCGCUCCCUUGGUUGAUGAAAGUCGUCCAAUGAUGCAGUGGUUUGUUUAUUUUCUUCUCGCAUCGCUCGGUGCAUUCUGUGGUCAUUUUGGCUGUUGGCAGCUUGCUUGGCAAUUAAGCUUGGUGGGUUGCUACUGGUUGGGUGUCUUCGGGGAUGUUUACCGUAAAGGUGCAUGAGUGGUGUUUGGUUUGUUACGGGUGGUUGGCUCUUUGCUUGCGCAACAACUUCUACCUGGCAUACCUCUUCAUUCUUGUGUCAAUGCUUGUAUUGCAUUGAAUGCAUGGUGGGUUUCUUGUGUUGCAUGCCUAAUUAAUGGUAUCGCUUGAUGAUUUGGUAUUCCUUUUGUCUUGUGUCGCCUAUGCGAUGUGAGAUGAACCUUGAAGCAGCCUUUGUGAUCCACUCUUUUGAUGCAUACACAUUGAUUUUGUGGCCCAUUGAGUGUUGCUUGGUAACAUGGAUAUGGAACCUGGUGUGGGCAUGGAAUCUUAAUGGUUCCUUGUUUGCCCAAGUUUAGCUUUUCUAAAACGAUUGUCU
rnacentral:misc_RNA from 1 species